rnacentral:rRNA from 1 species
GCAUGAAUGGAUUAACGAGAUUCCUACUGUCCCUAUCUACUAUCUAGCGAAACCACAGCCAAGGGAACGGGCUUGGAAUAAUCAGCGGGGAAAGAAGCCCUGUUGAGCUUGACUCUAGUCCGACGUUGUGAAAUGACUUAUGAGGUGUAGCGUAGGCAGGAGCUUCGGCGAACAUGAAACACUGCCACUCGUAAUGUUGUUUUACUUAUCUUGUCGCGUAGCGUCCAUCCGUCCUCGCGGGCGCGUGGUUCUAGCGUUAACUGUGCCAUUGUCCCAUUAGCUACGCAAGAGACAACGUCAGGUUGGGAGUUUGGCUGGGGCGGCACAUCUGUUAAAUAAUAACACAGGUGUCCUAAGGGCAGCUCAAUGAGAACAGAAAUCUCAUGUAGAACAAAAGGGUAAAAGCUGUCUUGAUUUUGAUUUUCAGUACGAAUACAAACCGUGAAAGCGUGGCCUAUCGAUCCUUUAGUCUUUGGGAAUUUCAAGCUAGAGGUGUCAGAAAAGUUACCACAGGGAUAACUGGCUUGUGGC